rnacentral:rRNA from 1 species
UACGUAGGGGGCAAGCGUUGUCCGGAAUUAUUGGGCGUAAAGAGCGCGUAGGCGGUCCGAUAAGUCGGCUGUGAAAGUCAGGGGCUCAACCCUUGAAAGCCGGCCGAUACUGUUGGACUAGAGUCCGGAAGAGGCAAGUGGAAUUCCCGGUGUAGCGGUGAAAUGCGCAGAUAUCGGGAAGGAACACCAAUGGCGAAGGCAGCUUGCCUGG